CAUCUACUCCCUCCGUCCGGAAAUACUUGUCAUCAAAAUGGAUAAAAGGGGAUGUAUCUAGACGUAUUUUAGUUCUAGAUACAUCUCUUUUUAUCCAUUUUGAUGACAAGUAUUUUCGGACGGAGGGAGUAUUAU
rnacentral:pre_miRNA from 1 species